UGAGGAAUUUUGGACAAUGGGCGCAAGCCUGAUCCAGCCAUGCCGCGUGCAGGAUGAAGGCCCUCGGGUUGUAAACUGCUUUUGUACGGAACGAAAAGCCUCUUUCUAAUAAAGAGGGGUGAUGACGGUACCGUAAGAAUAAGCACCGGCUAACUACGUGCCAGCAGCCGCGGUAAUACGUAGGGUGCGAGCGUUAAUCGGAAUUACUGGGCGUAAAGCGUGCGCAGGCGGUCUUGCAAGACAGUGGUGAAAUCCCCGGGCUCAACCUGGGAACUGCCAUUGUGACUGCAAGGCUGGAGUACGGCAGAGGGGGAUGGAAUUCCGCGUGUAGCAGUGAAAUGCGUAGAGAUGUGGAGGAAUACCGAUGGCGAAGGCAGCCCCCUGGGAUGAUACUGACGCUCAUGCACGAAAGCGUGGGGAGCAAACA
rnacentral:rRNA from 1 species